AUUGAACGCUGGCGGCAUGCCUUACACAUGCAAGUCGAACGGCAGCACGGGAGCAAUCCUGGUGGCGAGUGGCGAACGGGUGAGUAAUAUAUCGGAACGUGCCCAGUCGUGGGGAUAACGUAGCGAAAGCUACGCUAAUACCGCAUACGAUCUAUGGAUGAAAGCGGGGGAUCGCAAGACCUCGCGCGAUUGGAGCGGCCGAUAUCAGAUUAGGUAGUUGGUGAGGUAAAGGCUCACCAAGCCGACGAUCUGUAGCUGGUCUGAGAGGACGACCAGCCACACUGGGACUGAGACACGGCCCAGACUCCUACGGAGGCAGCAGUGGGGAAUUUUGGGACUAAUAGGGCGCAAGCCUGAUCCAGCAAUGCCGCGUGCAGGAUGAAGG
rnacentral:rRNA from 1 species